CACGAGGCCACUGUACCCUGAACUUGCUGUUGUGAAGCUGCCAGUUCACGAGGCUGGGAUGGCCAGUUCUCCUGCUGGACUCUGGCUGAGCGCCCCGUCCUGAGCCUCCCGUUUGCACACUGCCCUGCUCAGGAUGUUCUGCCCGAUCCACAGAAGUCCCUUCCCUGCUGCAUCUCAGUGUCGGCUUGCUGGAUCAAGGAUCCCCUCCCAGUGUCUGCACCACGCUUGGGACUCGUCUCAGGUGACUUAGCCGAGCCUCUGGGAUUCAGGAUUCCAUCAGGAUUCGAUGGUCCUGGGCUUCCUUUGUUCUCCUCUGCCCCCACCCCCCUCUCCCUCCUUCCUGCGCAGGUGACCAGGCCCAGGGGACGCUCAGUGGGAUGGCCAAAAGAAUGUCACACGGCUCAUCAAGUCUGAGGCAGCUGCCCUGCGUCUCAGGACUCUCCCCGGAGAGAGAACCUACCAGGGACAAUGCCAGGCAGCCCAGCCAAGGCGCUCCUAAGGCCGCGGGUAUCUGGAAAGACCCCGAACAAAUGGGCUAAGCAGGAGACCCCAAAUCCUGCAUCCAAAUCCUACAGGACAUCGAGAGGCCAAGGCCUGAAGGCCAGCACCUCAAGCCCUGCAGGUGCCCCCACUGUGUGCCCUGGUCCCCACUUGGCCCUCCACGUCCGCCGCUGGGAAACACAGGGAGAGGAGGCCCCAUCGCUGCCCGGGAGGCUCAUUUGUGUUAGGGCUUGGUCCUGGGAAGAGCUGCCCUCCGCAUCCAGGCCUGGUGCCAUCUUCACCUUGUGGAGGGCUAAAGGAAGCUGACGGGUUACUUGACAGAAUUUUUGUGGUGAGAACACUUAAAACGCUCUCUUCUAGCCAUUUGCAAGAGUGCAUCUUGCCAGGCAUGGUGGCCCGUGCUUGUGUGGACAGGGUGGCCUCAGUGACUUAGCAAGGCCCUCCCUCAGCAACAGAGCAACAGCUGGUCUCAGAGGAAAAAAAUGGGAUGUAGCUCAGGGGUAAAGGCCCCCUGUGUUCAAUCUCCAGUACAAAAAUAAAAAGUGAAAUUCUUGCUA